AGUACAUUAUGCUAGGUCAGGAUGGCAAACCUAGGGAGUUCAGGCACCAUGAAACAUAACUUCCUUUGCCAUCGGAGAGAAAGAAGACGGUAGGCGCGCUCAGGAGAUGACGCAGCAACAACCGUCGAGCGGAGGUUGUGUUUGGAGGCGACCAGCAGAGGCUGCAGCUCCCACAGCUCGCGUGCGAACGAUGUGGCCGGACGACGAUUGAAGCGGCGUUUCUGUUUUGGCGGCGUGCUUUCGCGUGUGGAUGGAGCUCGUACGCCAGGAAGAACUGGCGUCUUGAUGGAGCUCGUACGCCAGGAAGAACUGGCGUUCGUUGGCGGGUCGAAGAAGUUUGAUUUUUGGUCGAUGGACCUCGUCCUCGUUCGUGGGUUGCGGAGCUGUUUUUUUGUUGACUGGGCGCGAUCGUGGGGUUCCAUGGACUUAUCGUUCGUGUGUUGAACUGUGGAUCUCGUACGUGGGCUGAGUUGUUGUAUUUUUUUUUGCGGGCGCUGAGUUGGUGUUUUUUCGUACGUGGGCUAUGUUGGUGGGCUGCUGCGUGCGUGUGGGAGUUCGAAGGGAGGGGGAUCGAACGAGGUCGAACCAUCACGACGUUCGAUCCCCCUUUAAUAGUAGAGAUUCUCAAUGGGCAUACCUGCUGUUAUCUUGCCAAAGCCCAAGUUUAUACAAUUUGCUUCUCUAACUACAAUGUCAGUACAUUAUGCUAGGUCAGGAUGGCAAACCUAGGGAGUUCAGGCACCAUGAAACAUAACUUCCUUUGCCAUCGGAGAGAAAGAAGACGGUAGGCGCGCUCAGGAGAUGACGCAGCAACAACCGUCGAGCGGAGGUUGUGUUUGGAGGCGACCAGCAGAGGCUGCAGCUCCCACAGCUCGCGUGCGAACGAUGUGGCCGGACGACGAUUGAAGCGGCGUUUCUGUUUUGGCGGCGUGCUUUCGCGUGUGGAUGGAGCUCGUACGCCAGGAAGAACUGGCGUCUUGAUGGAGCUCGUACGCCAGGAAGAACUGGCGUUCGUUGGCGGGUCGAAGAAGUUUGAUUUUUGGUCGAUGGACCUCGUCCUCGUUCGUGGGUUGCGGAGCUGUUUUUUUGUUGACUGGGCGCGAUCGUGGGGUUCCAUGGACUUAUCGUUCGUGUGUUGAACUGUGGAUCUCGUACGUGGGCUGAGUUGUUGUAUUUUUUUUUGCGGGCGCUGAGUUGGUGUUUUUUCGUACGUGGGCUAUGUUGGUGGGCUGCUGCGUGCGUGUGGGAGUUCGAAGGGAGGGGGAUCGAACGAGGUCGAACCAUCACGACGUUCGAUCCCCCUUUAAUAGUAGAGAUAUCAUGAAAAACAGUCUUUGUGCAUUUUUCAACCACUAUGAAUUAUCCAA